rnacentral:rRNA from 1 species
UAGGGAAUCUUCCGCAAUGGACGCAAGUCUGACGGAGCAACGCCGCGUGAGUGAAGAAGGAUUUCGGUUCGUAAAACUCUGUUGUUAGAGAAGAACAGCGCAUAGAGUAACUGUUAUGCGUGUGACGGUAUCUAACCAGAAAGCCACGGCUAACUACGUGCUAGCAGCCGCGGUAAUACGUAGGUGGCAAGCGUUGUCCGGAUUUAUUGGGCGUAAAGCGAGCGCAGGCGGUCAAUUAAGUCUGAUGUGAAAGCCCCCGGCUCAACCGGGGAGGGUCAUUGGAAACUGGUUGACUUGAGUGCAGAAGAGGAGAGUGGAAUUCCAUGUGUAGCGGUGAAAUGCGUAGAUAUAUGGAGGAACACCGGUGGCGAAAGCGGCUCUCUGGUCUGUAACUGACGCUGAGGCUCGAAAGCGUGGGGAGCGAACAGG